rnacentral:rRNA from 1 species
UGGCUCAGGACGAACGCUGGCGGCGUGCUUAACACAUGCAAGUCGAGCGGUAAGGCUCCUUCGGGGGUACACGAGCGGCGAACGGGUGAGUAACACGUGAGUAAUCUGCCCUCCACUUCGGGAUAAGCCUCGGAAACGGGGUCUAAUACCGGAUACGACACUCCUUCGCAUGAGGUGGGUGUGGAAAGUUUUUCGGUGGGGGAUGUGCUCGCGGCCUAUCAGCUUGUUGGUGGGGUAAUGGCCUACCAAGGCUUCGACGGGUAGCCGGCCUGAGAGGGUGACCGGCCACACUGGGACUGAGACACGGCCCAGACUCCUACGGGAGGCAGCAGUGGGGAAUAUUGGACAAUGGGCGGAAGCCUGAUCCAGCAACGCCGCGUGAGGGAUGACGGCCUUCGGGUUGUAAACCUCUUUCAGUACCGACGAAGCGAAAGUGACGGUAGGUACAGAAGAAGCACCGGCGAACUA